GACUGGGUGGCCAAGUUGGCUAAGGCGUGAGACUGUUAUUAAAGAAGUUCUUCUGGCAUCUCAAGAUCGAGAGUUCGAGCCUCUCCCUGGUCG